ACAGCCAAUCCGACCUAGACCAGUCUUGCUUGGAAAGCCGAGGAUUCCUGGUCCCAUGCCGUGAGGACAAAGUACAAAGAAUGGCAACCCCAUGCGAUAGACUUUUAGGGGUCUGAGACUUUGAUCCAAGUUGUGCUGUGAGGAGCAAGUCGUGCGUUAGUGGAGGGACAGUGUCUUCAUGGAGCGCGCGCGCACGUGUGUACAGAGUCUCGGUCUGAUUUACAUGAAGAUGAAGAAUUCUCAGGAACAGUCUGUGAGGAAAUGAAGGAAGCAUGACUGGGCAGAGUCAGAAGUUGAACUACAAUGCAGUUGCAACAAAGACAAUAGAUGAGGAAAUUGACAAUCAAGGGUUCAGGAAUUUUGUUUUCAAGCUCCCACAGUUAAAGAGGCUACUAUUCCAAUUCUCAUCAUUUUUUCACAAGUCUGACCAACUGUAUCAUGUAUCUUCAUACUAGGCAAUGUGUCAAAUUUUAGUGAUGAACAAAAUAUUAAGAUUUAA